AUUGAACGCUGGCGGCAGGCCUAACACAUGCAAGUCGAACGAGUGGCGGACGGGUGAGUAAGGUCUGUGCAAGUUCCUGGGGGAUGGGGAUAACUAAUGGAAACUGUUGCUAAUACCGCCUACCUUCGGCUGGGACCAGAUGGGAUUAGCUAGUAGGUGGGGUAACGGCCUACCUAGGCGACGAUCCCUAGCUGGUCUGAGAGGAUGACCAGCCACACUGGAACUGAGACACGGUCCAGACUCCUACGGGAGGCAGCAGUGGGGAAUAUUGCACAAUGGGCGAAAGCCUGAUGCAGCCAUGCCGCGUGUAUGAAGAAGGCCUUCGGGUUGUAAAGCACUUUAAGCGGGGAGGCGUUACCCGCAGAAUAAGCACCGGCUAACUCCGUGCCAGCAGCCGCGGUAAUAC
rnacentral:rRNA from 1 species